GAGUUUAUAAUCAAUUUAUUGUAAUGAGGCCUCCUCAAUGUUAUAGCAUUCUCGGAGCCAAAUUCAAAAAAGAGGAGUGCAAAAUAGUAUUUUUGUUUACGAUUGAUGUCUAGUCACUUGUCCGAGUUUAUCCUCAGAUUGCUCGGGAAAUGGUGAUAAGCCUUAUGAAUCAUAGGUUGGGGCUCACUGCUUUGACAAAGAG
rnacentral:lncRNA from 1 species